rnacentral:rRNA from 1 species
CCUACGGGGGGCAGCAGUGAGGAAUAUUGGUCAAUGGGCGGAAGCCUGAACCAGCCAAGUCGCGUGAGGGAAUAAGGCCCUACGGGUCGUAAACCUCUUUUGCCGGGGAGCAAGGGCGGGGACGUGUCCCGGCCCGGAGAGUACCCGGAGAAAAAGCAUCGGCUAACUCCGUGCCAGCAGCCGCGGUAAUACGGGGGAUGCAAGCGUUAUCCGGAUUUAUUGGGUUUAAAGGGUGCGUAGGCUGUGAGGUAAGUCAGCGGUGAAAUGCCCCCGCUCAACGGGGUGAAGUGCCAUUGAUACUGCCUUGCUGGAAUGCGGAUGCCGUGGGAGGAAUGUGUGGUGUAGCGGUGAAAUGCAUAGAUAUCACACAGAACACCGAUUGCGAAGGCAUCAUACCGGUGCACAACUGACGCUCAGGCACGAAAGCGUGGGUAUCGAACAGGAUUAGAUACCCGAGUAGUC